ACGCUGGCGGUAGGCCUAACACAUGCAAGUCGAACGGCAGCACAGUAAGAGCUUGCUCUUAUGGGUGGCGAGUGGCGGACGGGUGAGGAAUACAUCGGAAUCUACCUUUUCGUGGGGGAUAACGUAGGGAAACUUACGCUAAUACCGCAUACGACCUUCGGGUGAAAGCAGGGGACCUUCGGGCCUUGCGCGGAUAGAUGGGCCGAUGUCGGAUUAGCUAGUUGGCGGGGUAAAGGCCCACCAAGGCGACGAUCCGUAGCUGGUCUGAGAGGAUGAUCAGCCACACUGGAACUGAGACACGGUCCAGACUCCUACGGGAGGCAGCAGUGGGGAAUAUUGGACAAUGGGCGCAAGCCUGAUCCAGCCAUACCGCGUGGGUGAAGAAGGCCUUCGGGUUGUAAAGCCCUUUUGUUGGGAAAGAAAAGCAGCUGGCUAAUACCCGGUUGUUCUGACGGUACCCAAAGAAUAAGCACCGGCUAACUUCGUGCCAGCAGCCGCGGUAAUACGAAGGGUGCAAGCGUUACUCGGAAUUACUGGGCGUAAAGCGUGCGUAGGUGGUUGUUUAAGUCUGUUGUGAAAGCCCUGGGCUCAACCUGGGAAUUGCAGUGGAUACUGGGCGACUAGAGUGUGGUAGAGGGUAGUGGAAUUCCCGGUGUAGCAGUGAAGUGCGUAGAGAUCGGGAGGAACAUCCAUGGCGAAGGCAGCUACCUGGACCAACACUGACACUGAGGCACGAAAGCGUGGGGAGCAAAC
rnacentral:rRNA from 1 species